rnacentral:rRNA from 1 species
UACAGAGGGUGCAAGCGUUAAUCGGAAUUACUGGGCGUAAAGCGUGCGUAGACGGUUAUGUAAGUCGGGUGUGAAAGCCCCGGGCUCAACCUGGGAAUGCCAUUCGAGACUGCAUAGCUAGGGUGCGGAAGAGGGAAGCGGAAUUUCAGGUGUAGCGGUGAAAUGCGUAGAUAUCUGAAGGAACACCAGUGGCGAAAGCGGCUUCCUGGGCCAGCACCGACGUUCAGGCACGAAAGCGUGGGGAGCAAACAGG